GCAGCCAAUCAGCGGAGCGGCCUGGGCAGCCAAUCAGGGCGCGGAGCACGGGAGGACGCCGUCCGGCGGUACCCGGGGCGACCAGAGGAGGCGGAGCCAGAGCUCGGGAGCCAACCACCGCGGGCCGGUUGCCGUGGAAACCGCCUCCCUCCCUUCAGCCCCCGCCCCGGGCUUGAAGGUCCUUUCAACUGCUUGCUAGAAAUUGAACAAUUCCCACUCCUAGCCAGCGGGCUGCGGCUGCACCUGACCCUUGGAAACUGGACGAGUGCUGCCUUUUGCCUCUUCUGAGUUUAAUCCUCGGGGGAUGAGCUUUUCCGUUCUGGAGCUUGUCCAGAAAAUGGUGGAAAGCCGGUGAUCACUGAACAACAGAACCACCGACCCAGGGCCAGGUUAGAACGUCCUAACGAACGCAUAUAGCAAGACUUGAGUUGGAUGAGAACAGAAAGGACGGCCAAAAUCCAGCCUGCAGAGGAGGCUGCCCCAUCACCUCCGACUGUAGUAUACUGCCAGCCUGGAACGCCACAGCCACAUACCACAGGGAAGAAUCCUGAAGCACCAGGAAAACCGACUGUUGGAAUCGCAUCACCCACCACCACCGCAUUCAUCAUCAACAUCAUCCACAGAACUUGGUCGCAUGGCACUCAGUGACACCUGGCUCUGAGGCAGAACACAGUUUAAAAAAUUAAGAUACUUGGACAGAGGCAGAAUGAC
rnacentral:lncRNA from 1 species